UACGGAGGAUGCGAGCGUUAUCCGGAUUUAUUGGGUUUAAAGGGUGCGUAGGCGGAUUUUUAAGUCAGCGGUAAAAUGUCCGGGCUCAACCCGGGCCGGCCGUUGAAACUGGGGACCUUGAGUGGGCGAGAAGUAUGCGGAAUGCGUGGUGUAGCGGUGAAAUGCAUAGAUAUCACGCAGAGCUCCGAUUGCGAAGGCAGCAUACCGGCGCCCGACUGACGCUGAGGCACGAAAGCGUGGGGAUCGAACAGG
rnacentral:rRNA from 1 species